AGGGAGCCGGGCCGGUGCCAGGGCUGCCGCCCGGCCGGCCCUGCCGCCAUGGCCCGCGUCUCGGCGCUGCUCAGCCCCGUCCUGGUGCUCUUCGGCUGCGACCUCUGCCUCGUGCGAGCCAACAGGCCACCGUCCCCUGUCAACGUGACUGUGACACAGCUGAAGGCAAACUCUGCCACAGUCUCCUGGGACGUCCCAGAAGGAGAUGUGGUCAUCGGCUAUGCCAUCCUACAGCAGCGGCAGGACGGGCAGAUGCAGCGCUUCAUCCGGGAGGUGAACACCACCAACCGUGCCUGCGUGCUGUGGGACCUGGCAGAGGAUGCCGACUACAUCAUCCAGGUGCAGAGCAUCGGCCUGUAUGGGGAGAGCCAGGCCAGCAAGCGUGUCCACUUCCGCACCCUGAAGGAGACCGACCGCCUGCCUUCCAACAGCUCCAACCAAGGUGACAUCACCAUGGAAGGGCUGGACAAAGACCGGCAGCUGCAGACAGGCGAGAUUAUCAUCAUCGUGGCUGUGCUGCUCAUGUGGGCAGGAGAUAGAGCCAGUGGGGUAAAAGGAACAACCACAGCCACUGCUCAGCUAUCAUGGCCUGGAGUAUGUGGAAGAGCAGGAGACAGUGUGGGACCCAGAAUUACAGGCGGUGAUUGCCCUGUUCUGCAGACAGUAUGACAUCAUCAAGGAUAACGACUCCAAUAACAACAAGGAGAAGACAAAGCCAUCCUCAGAGCACAGCACACCUGAGCGACCGAGCGGAGGGCUGCUGCGGAGCAAGAAGAAAUCUCCCUCGGUCAAUAUCAUCGAGGUGUAAGUGCAGCACCAGCUCUGCGUCUGGGGUCCUGAGUGUCCUGCUAGAGCCAAAGCAGGCCUUGGAAGAAGAGGCAGCACCAGGCGCCCAGCCUGGAACUCAGCAUGCGAUGAUCCACGUAUCAGAACUGCCACUUUCCCGAGGGCACCUGUCCGGGGAUGUGCCUGGAGCUGGCUCCCAGCCAUGCAUGCAGAGCGUGGCCCUGCCCAUCCCGCACGCCUGGCCCCGCUCCCUCGCCACUGCGGAGCACGGAGCUGAGAGCGGGUGGGGGGCCACACCACCGGCUGGGGGGGAGCUGAGGGCAGCUGAGGGGGCAGUGCACUGGCCUGAGGGGUGGCCACGUCCCUGGGCACUGGCUUGGUCAAAGCCCUGGGUGCAGCCGUGGCACUGGAUGCCUGCCUGGUGUCAGCCCGGGACAGACCUUGCUCUCAGCUGCCUGUCUGGGCUUGGGGGGCUGCCUGUGGAGGACGGGAGUUGCUCCCCUCUGGGCCCUGAGGCUGAGGGGAUGGGGCAGUGCAGGCAUUGCCCCAGUGCUACCAGGGGAGCUGUGGCCAGGUGGCAGGAGUGUUUGUCUGUGGGGCUGAGCCCAGCCAGCACAGGGGAAGAAGAGUGGAUUGCUGCUGGAGAACAGGGCUCCACUGCACUCUGUCAUGGCCACACAGGGACUUUGAGGUCUCUCUCUACUACAGAGGACAAAGACACAAAUGAGGAUGAGAAGUGAGUGCUGGCACAGUGCCUGGCCAGCCUGCAGAGCCUGCAGCCAGGGCAGGGAUUGCUAGUGGGAGCCCCACAGAGCUGGGAGAGUGGGCAGUGCCAGGGCAUCGCUGUGGCUACACCGUGUCUGUAGUAGGGCUCAGUGCUGGCACAUUCAGGCUAUUUGUGGGGAGCUGCUGAGCACUCUGUGAGCAGCACAGUGCCUGUGCUGCCUGGAGGAGGCAAUGUGGUGAGGCCUGCAAGGUCUCAGCUGGAGGGAACAGGAUGAUACAAGGAGGCUCUCUGCUGCCCUGGCUGCUGCUCUCCCUCCAUGCUCUGCUCUGCAGCCUGCCAUGUGCUGGCCCUGCAGCCCUGGACUCAAGCAUCACAGGAUCCAGCGUCUUCCAGGAAUAAACCUCCCAAUAAAAGCACUUUCAGGACUCUUCCUUCCAGGUGCUGCUCAGCUCCUGCUGCAGGACUAGGUGGGGAAGGGAUGGGAUAAGCGACUCCUGCGGCAGGGUCUUUUCAAUAAAAGCAUCCUGGCUCAAAGGCA